rnacentral:sRNA from 1 species
UAGAUAGAUACAUAGAUGUAUAGAUAUAUAGAUAAAUAGAUAAUUUUUAGGAAUAUUUUAACAGGAAAAUUACAUGAUAAUUUUCCUAAUACAGCAAUAUAGUAACAGCACUAUCUCAUCUAUUUGGGACAUAAUUUUCAUAUAUUCUCAGUUAAAAUGCUUGAAUCAGAGAAGAUGUUUCUAAAAAGAUAACAUGGGCCAUCUAUAGAUAAUAAGCAUUUCUUUAGCUAACAUGGGGCAAUUCAUAGCACCUGAAUAGUAAUUAUUAUUUUUUAUUUAUAAUUAUGUGCAUGCUAGGGACUAAGAGGACUUGGUGAUGAUCAGUCCAGGGCCAUAGGAGGGGUCUCCACAGUUAUCUGUAGAUGCCUUGUUAGCAAGCUCGGACCAGGGAACAGAUGCUGCAUCAGACUUGCAUAAGGCGGUGAGUCAAGGCACGCAUGUCAGCUCUAACAGGAUACACUGUGAGCAGUGACCUUCACAAAACAUUGGAAACUGCGCCUGGAGUGUGGGAUGGGCGAGUUGUCCCCUUUCCUAUAUUAGGGUGACUACAUUCCAUGACUCCACACGGAAUCAUGUCCGGGUGCACACUUUGACUCUAACCCUCACACACAGUGCCCAGGUCCGGCAGAGCCUUGGCAAGAACACAAAUAAAUGCCACAUAUAAAAAGAAAAGAAAGAAAACGCCAACGUUUUCAAAGCUUCCCUAAGUUUCGGGAUGAAAAACAAAAGGAGAGAAGUGGGAAUUCAAAGACACUUGUGGGAGUCUCAAAUCCAUUUGGUGAUAAAAAAGAAUCUUUGUCGAAAUAAAAUUAAAAAAAAAAACACUUUGUGUCCUUAAAUUAACUGAUAACUUUUUAUACUAGCUAUCCCCAAACCAUGAGGAUUUUGCUAAUUAGCACAUCACUGCUACCCAUUUCUUUUUCCACCUUCAUUUAACAUUCCUGGAGAUCAAAACAACAACAACAAAAAAAAAAGCCUAGCCACGUCCGUUUUUUGGAGAAGACGUUUUUAGAUUUUUAUAUCCUUUGGUACAAAGACAUGAAAACACAUGCAGGUGUCCAUUAAAGCCUAGGGGAUGAGUCGUAUGACAAUUAUUACUCAGAGAAUGUUUCUCAAAGUCACCUUCUGGUGUAAUUCGAUUGAUCCCGAAUAUCACCUGAUAUACUCCACUACAGUAAGGAUCCACCAGAGAAAAAAAACAUGAUUCCCCACAUAGAAAGCCUCAGGUGAGUGGGCUUGGAGGGCCUAACCUGGAGUGAGAGGCAGCUCAAGGAAGGAGGCUGGAAGACGCUCUGGUGGGUGGGACCCGGCUCCUGAGGAUGGGAUACAGUUCAGGAUAUAUGAUUGGCUUAGCAAAAGGACUUGGAAGGAGAAGUUAGGAGAGAGACAGACAAGUGUCCAGGGGCUGGUGUUGAUCCUCCAAAACCAAAAAGAAAAACGGGUAAGAAUUGGAAGGAAAGGGUGUUUCCAUUUCUAGAUGAUGCUGGCCAAUAGGCAAACAGAGCAGUAAAGUCAAGGCCCCACCUAGCAUCCUCUAAUAGGGGGGCACCUGGCAAAUCAAAGAGCACAAAGUGCUGGGCCACAAGUCAAUCUUUACGGUUGCUUCAUGACUGCUGAGCCGAGAACGUCUAUAAAAUGAAGAAGAUAUCGGAAGCUAUUCCGUCAGGGGUGAAUACUGGGUCAGUCAAAACUGACGACCGGGUCAGUUGCUACCACCAUUAAAUUUAAAAUAAAUACGGAGGCGUCUAAGUAUUUGUUCAUUUCUGUAGUUGGACCAGUAAGAAUUUACGCACAAACCACUUGUUUAAUAUGAACACACACAGCAUUGGCUCGGCCGAUGCUGAGACACUGAUCCCCGAAACAGAAGACACCACCCGGCAAGGGACCCGGGAACUGUGCCAGGGAAGUUUUAGUACCAGCACAGCUGAGAUUCAGAGCAAGUCCAUCUGGCCCAGAGCCACUUCACUGGUGUGGGGAAGGGAAAGGCAUCUGACAUAGCGCUUAAAAUUAUCACUGUGACCAUGAAACUUUCUUAGCUUUUGUGAUGUAAUUCUGGAGGGCUACAUAAAAGCAGAGUCUUUGAACCCCUAUGUAGCUCCCAACCAAUGUUUACUGAUAGCUGGGCAAUACUGACCCUUUCAGGGGAUAGCUGAGGAAGAGUCACUGGCCGUACCACCGGGCUGAGCAGUCGUGUCAAUGACUCUGUGUUAUUGGCAUGGGGCGAGAUGAUAAGGGAGUUAGCACUGAGAUCAAGGCAACACGGAUCCCACACUGACAUCAUUCUGUAGUAGCACAGGAUGACCUUGCCGAUGACCUUCAAUUGCUGAUCCCAUGUCCGCCCCUCAAGCCCUGGAAUUAUAGGCCUGCCCCUCCACGUCCAGUUUGUGUGACGCUGAGGACUAAAUCCAGGGUUCUGUGAAUGCUAAGCAAAGGAAUCAUAGUCCAAAUGAGAGAAGUUACAUUAUUAGUUCUUUUCCUUCAAGCCCGUGUCACUCCUUAUAGCACAGUUCAGCCAAUUUGCUGCUUCAUACGACCCCACCCCCACCUAGAACUAGGUCACCCCUACGAGGAUUAAAAACUGGAAAUUUCUCACAAGCUUAGGUUUUUUGGGGUUUUUUUUGUUGUUGUUGUUGUUUUGUUUUUUAAAGCAAAGGGCUUCUGCCAUAAAGUAAUCAGAGGGAGGCAAAUAUUUCAGAUUUGUUUGGGGCUUGUGGCUUAAAGUAUUCCGGGUACUGUUGAUACACGUACGUUUUUACCUAAUUGCUUAUGGGAAAGCUAAAAAUCAAAUAUUUAAAAUAGUAGAUGUUAUACACAAGUGUAGAAACCACAUCAGCUGAGGUUGCUAAGGAAGCAAAAAACCUCCAAGUACAAUACAUGAAUAAGGAGAAAUUAAGAUUCAUAUCAUCUUAAUAUUUAUACAACAAAACAAGGGUAUGGAAAGACUCACAGGGAAUAUAUUUCUCCUGCAGGUCAGGGACAUAUCAGCUGCCAGUGCCACAUUUUCUUCUAGGACCAGGAGCAUACAGGUGGCCUCUGUGACAGUAAAGGAAACAGGCAGGAAGGAGAAACUGAAGAAAAUGCUCGAGACUGAGAACAACACAUGUAGCACUGGUUUGGCAGAUGCUGCUGAGAAGCUGAUCCCCAAAACAGAAGACGCCACCCAGCAAGGAACCACGGGCUUGUGGCAGAGGAGCCUCAGUACCAGCAGAGCUGGGAUGCAGAGCAAGUCCGUAUUUUUUUAAUUAUACAGCCUAACUCUAUACAUUCAGCAUACAAAUAGUAAAAUAAAAUGUCAAGAAAACAUGACCAUGUCUACCUCCUAUCAUUUUGGUUCAGCACUUUGAAAGCAGAAAGAGUAACCCUAUGAAAUAGUGCUUCUAUGAAAGUACUUUCUAUGAAAGUGAGCACACCGGCAAACUUCAGUCCAAUGCUGUGUUGCAUGUAAAAGUUACCUAAACCUUUUUGUAGCAUGUUUUGGUAACAUAAAUACAAACUACUGAAGUACGGCUUAGGGGAUUACACAUGAGAAGUUGAAAUCCUCAGGCAACAUGGUUACUUGUGAGAUACAACCUUGACACUUUGUAAGAAAAAUGAAACACCCAAAUGACACACACAUCCACACAGAACCUGGGAGCACAGCAAACAUCAGUAAGACUUAGAAAAGAGGUUUUCGAACUAAUUAGGAAGCUUUUUCCCCAAAGAAUAUUAAGAAAUAAACACGGGAAGAUGGAGGUUUUUCAGUUCUCAAGGAAGCUUAUAGGGGUCACAAAGCUCUGUACCAACCUGCCUUUUGCUGACUCUUGAAGUAGCUCUUUUGAGGUUCAAAGACCUUGACAGCCGCAGGGCCUUCACCGAGUCCUUCCUGGAGGCACCAGAAAAGGAGAAAUACUUCCCUGUACAUUUCUGCCUGGCUUGGCCUGCCAUUUCUAGCCAUCAGAAAGGGAAGGAAAAAAAAA